GACGAACGCUGGCGGCGUGCUUAACACAUGCAAGUCGAACGGAAAGGCCCUGCUUUUGUGGGGUGCUCGAGUGGCGAACGGGUGAGUAACACGUGAGUAACCUGCCCUUGACUUUGGGAUAACUUCAGGAAACUGGGGCUAAUACCGGAUAGGAGCUCCUGCUGCAUGGUGGGGGUUGGAAAGUUUCGGCGGUUGGGGAUGGACUCGCGGCUUAUCAGCUUGUUGGUGGGGUAGUGGCUUACCAAGGCUUUGACGGGUAGCCGGCCUGGGAGGGGGACCGGCCACAUUGGGACUGGGCUGCGGCCCAGACUCCUACGGGAGGCAGCAGUGGGGAAUAUUGCACAAUGGGCGGAAGCCUGAUGCAGCAACGCCGCGUGCGGGAUGACGGCCUUCGGGUUGUAAACCGCUUUCGCCUGUGACGAAGCGUGAGUGACGGUAAUGGGUAAAGAAGCACCGGCUAACUACGUG
rnacentral:rRNA from 1 species